rnacentral:rRNA from 1 species
GGAAACGACUGCUAAUACCGCAUAAUGUCUACGGACCAAAGCGGGCUUCGGCUCGCACCUGAAGAGAGGCCCAAGUGAGAUUAGCUAGUUGGUAAGGUAAAGGCUUACCAAGGCGACGAUCUCUAGCUGUUCUGAGAGGAAGAUCAACCACACUGGGACUGAGACACGGCCCAGACUCCUACGGGAGGCAGCAGUGGGGAAUAUUGCACAAUGGGGGAAACCCUGAUGCAGCCAUGCCGCGUGUGUGAAGAAGGCCUUCGGGUUGUAAAGCACUUUCAGUUGUGAGGAAAGGUUGGUAGUUAAUACCUGCCAGCUGUGACGUUAACAACAGAAGAAGCACCGGCUAACUCCGUGCCAGCAGCCGCGGUAAUACGGAGGGUGCGAGCGUUAAUCGGAAUUACUGGGCGUAAAGCGCACGCAGGCGGUUUGUUAAGCUAGAUGUGAAAGCCCCGGGCUCAACCUGGGAUGGUCAUUUAGAACUGGCAGACUAGAGUCUUGGAGAGGGGAGUGGAAUUCCAGGUGUAGCGGUGAAAUGCGUAGAUAUCUGGAGGAACAUCAGUGGCGAAGGCGGCUCCCUGGCCAAAGACUGACGCUCAUGUGCGAAAGUGUGGGUAGCGAACAGGAUUAGAUACCCUGGUAGUCCACACCGUAAACGCUGUCUACUAGCUGUUUGUGAAUUUAAUUCGUGAGUAGCGAAGCU